rnacentral:rRNA from 1 species
AUUGAACGCUGGCGGCAGGCCUAACACAUGCAAGUCGAGCGGAUGAAGGGAGCUUGCUCCUGGAUUCAGCGGCGGACGGGUGAGUAAUGCCUAGGAAUCUGCCUGGUAGUGGGGGAUAACGUCCGGAAACGGGCGCUAAUACCGCAUACGUCCUGAGGGAGAAAGUGGGGGAUCUUCGGACCUCACGCUAUCAGAUGAGCCUAGGUCGGAUUAGCUAGUUGGUGGGGUAAAGGCCUACCAAGGCGACGAUCCGUAACUGGUCUGAGAGGAUGUUCAGUCACACUGGAACUGAGACACGGUCCAGACUCCUACGGGAGGCAGCAGUGGGGAAUAUUGGACAAAGGGCGAAAGCCUGAUCCAGCCAUGCCGCGUGUGUGAAGAAGGUCUUCGGAUUGUAAAGCACUUUAAGUUGGGAGGAAGGGCAGUAAGUUAAUACCUUGCUGUUUUGACGUUACCAACAGAAUAAGCACCGGCUAACUUCGUG